rnacentral:rRNA from 1 species
GACGAACGCUGGCGGCGUGCCUAAUACAUGCAAGUCGAACGCAGUGGGGACGGGUGAGUAACACGUGGGUAACCUCCCAUCAGAGGGGAUAACACUUGGAAACAGGUGCUAAACCGAUACUGAUGGAUGGACCCGCGGGGCAUUAGCUAGUUGGUGAGGUAACGGCUCACCAAGGCCACGAGGCAUAGCCGACCUGAGAGGGUGGUCGGCCACACUGAGACUGAGACACUGCCCAGACUCCUACGGAGGUCAGCAGUAGGGGAUCUUCGGCAAUUGACGAAAGUCUAACCGAGCAACGCCGCGUAAGUGAAGAAUGUGUUCGGAUCGUAAGACUCUGUUAUUAGAGAAGCAGUAUCUAACCAGAAAGCCACGGCUAACUACGUACCAGCAGCCGCGGUAAUAC